rnacentral:rRNA from 1 species
UGCAGUCGAGCGGAGAUGAGGUGCUUGCACCUUAUCUUAGCGGCGGACGGGUGAGUAAUGCUUAGGAAUCUGCCUAUUAGUGGGGGACAACAUUUCGAAAGGAAUGCUAAUACCGCAUACGCCCUACGGGGGAAAGCAGGGGAUCUUCGGACCUUGCGCUAAUAGAUGAGCCUAAGUCGGAUUAGCUAGUUGGUGGGGUAAAGGCCUACCAAGGCGACGAUCUGUAGCGGGUCUGAGAGGAUGAUCCGCCACACUGGGACUGAGACACGGCCCAGACUCCUACGGGAGGCAGCAGUGGGGAAUAUUGGACAAUGGGGGGAACCCUGAUCCAGCCAUGCCGCGUGUGUGAAGAAGGCCUUUUGGUUGUAAAGCACUUUAAGCGAGGAGGAGGAGCUCUAGACUAAUACUCUAGAUGCUUGGACGUUACUCGCAGAAUAAGCACCGGCUAACUCUGUGCCAGCAGCCGCGGUAAUACAGAGGGUGCAAGCGUUAAUCGGAUUUACUGGGCGUAAAGCGUGCGUAGGUGGUCUUUUAAGUCGGAUGUGAAAUCCCUGAGCUUAACUUAGGAAUUGCAUUCGAUACUGGGAGACUAGAGUAUGGGAGAGGAUGGUAGAAUUCCAGGUGUAGCGGUGAAAUGCGUAGAGAUCUGGAGGAAUACCGAUGGCGAAGGCAGCCAUCUGGCCUAAUACUGACACUGAGGUACGAAAGCAUGGGGAGCAAACAGGAUUAGAUACCCUGGUAGUCCAUGCCGUAAACGAUGUCUACUAGCC